GGUGGUGCAUGGUUGUCGUCAGCUCGUGUCGUGAGAUGUUGGGUUAAGUCCCGCAACGAGCGCAACCCUUAAACUUAGUUGCCAGCAUUUAGUUGGGCACUCUAGGUUGACUGCCGGUGACAAACCGGAGGAAGGUGGGGAUGACGUCAAAUCAUCAUGCCCCUUAUGAUUUGGGCUACACACGUGCUACAAUGGACAAUACAAAGGGCAGCUAAACCGCGAGGUCAUGCAAAUCCCAUAAAGUUGUUCUCAGUUCGGAUUGUAGUCUGCAACUCGACUACAUGAAGCUGGAAUCGCUAGUAAUCGUAGAUCAGCAUGCUACGGUGAAUACGUUCCCGGGUCUUGUACACACCGCCCGUCACACCACGAGAGUUUGUAACACCCGAAGCCGGUGGAGUAACCAUUUAUGGAGCUAGCCGUCGAAGGUGGGACAAAUGAUUGGGGUGAAGUCGUAACAAGGUAGCCGUAUCGGAAGGUGCGGCUGGAUCACCUCCUUU
rnacentral:rRNA from 1 species